CAAUAUCAUAUAUGCAUGAAUCUCAGACGCGGUCUACAUGACCACAACUAUAUCAUAACUCUAUCCCAAAACUCGGGUGUCACAACUAGUCACAAACAUUUAAGAUGAGUACAAGAAUCUCAAUCUGAAUACAAAGUAUGUCCAGAAAUGGGAAAUACAAAGAAAAAUGUAAAGAGUAGGGGAGGGAGCACUCCAUGUGCUACAGAUCGAAUCAAGUAAGAAUCUAACCACAAAGUCUCUUGAUAGCACUCCUACUCCUUUGGGUGUAUUCCACCAAAGAUAGCCUUAGAACCUGCACAAAAUUUACAAAAGUGUAGUAUGAGUACGAGAAACACGGUACCCAGUAAGUAUCAAGUCUAGCUUCGGAGAAGUAGUGGUGAGAUGUCAAUAGUCGGACCUACUAUCAAUUCAAUAAUCAUAAGAGUCAUGAACAAUACAUGAAAUAAAGCAUGAUAUCAUCAGUCAAGUCUACUCAAGACAACACAAUAGCGCCCAUAUGUAGCCAUGCUCUUCAAAUAGGAGAUACACAAUAUCAGGUAUCUCAAAUCUUUCACAGUAGGAUAUAAGGCAACAACAAUCUAUGAUCAUAAGAGACAUUGCAUGAGUCUACGCUACCAAUGCAAGCUCACAUUCCAAUGCCGAUUCUCUGCAUGAAUCCAUACAACUAACAUAGAUCGAGUGUCCAAAUCAAUAUCAAUCUGAAUAUCUUGCACUCACAGGGCCCAAGGUAACAUGGGUAAUCACCUGACUCUGAAGGGACGAUACCAAAUCCAAGCAUCAUUAUGGCGUGCAACCUGAUCCACAAAUAUAUAGUAUAACUUUGUGGCAUGCAAUCCAAUCCAUAAAUAUUCCCGUGGCGGUGUGCCACUCGAUCCAACAUAUACCUGUGGUGGUUUGUCACCCGAUCCACACACAUACCUGUGGCGGCAUGCCACCCGAUCUACAACAAUCUCAUCAAUAUUCAAUAUCCGCUCAUAAUAUCUGUGGUGCCAAAACUCUAUCUUUUCAAAAUAUUCAGCUCUCCAACUCAUAGAUAAUAUGCAUAUGAGGCCGCAUAAUCAAAGGCAUCGAAUCAUAAUAAUAGAAAGGCUGAUAAAAGCACAAAUGGGUAAAGAUGGCUUCGGCAAAUCAUGUAAUUCAAUUCAUCUCAACGAUAUAACACGCAAUUUCAUCGUUCAAGAGUUUUACCAUAAUAUUUAACAUGAAUGAAUAAGCCAUUUAACUAUAAGGUCAUGAAUUAACAAGACAAAUAUAUGAUUACGGUUGAAUAAAGAAGCCCGAGGUGGCAAAACAAUCAUUUAUGCCCAAAUCACAAGUCAUAACCCUAGGCAUGCUUCUAAGCCACAAUUACAAGUCAUCAUGUAGUCAUAGAAUUAGUAAAACAUAAAUGAGAAUUUCGCAUAAUCAAAACAAGGCAUAAUCUUACGCCGAAUAUUUACCGGAUAUGUCAAAACUAGCUACACAUAUACCCUCGUCACCGCACAUAUACGUGGCUCCUAAAUCGAGCAACAAGUGGCAAAUAGAUUACAUAUCGAGAGAAUUUUCUCUUACAAGGAUAGACAAGAGACAUAUCUCCACCCGACAGUCUUCAACCUUCCAAAAUAGCCUUCCCUUUCAAAUCAACCUCCAAACGAGUCGAAUCUAGUCAAAUACAACUCAAUAACAUCAAACAAAGCCAUAGGAAUCAAUUCCAAAUAAUAAAGCUUCAAUCUUUAAUAAAAUACUGAGUCCAAAUAUGUGUUUAGAUUCUAAAACCGAGCAAAAAUCGACUCCAAAAUUCCCAAUUUACACUCUCCAAAAUUGUAGUCAAAACCUCCAAAUUUCUCUUUCAAAUCCCGUAGUCUAUGUGUAAUAAUCCAUGGGGAAGUAAGAUAUAAUAUCAAAAUCAAGUAGAAAUCACUUACCCACUUUCCUUGUGUGAAAAACCCUCUUCAAAAAUCGCCCCUCUCCACGUGUAGGGUUCAAAAUAUGAGAGAAUGGGGUAAAAUCCCGAAAUAUAACACUUAAGUGUUCUGCUCAGCGAUUCCCUUCGUGAAUACGGUCAUUGCAUCUUGUUUGCGAAGUACAAAAAGUCACUGCCUCAAAUAACCUUUCACGAACAUGGCUUCACCCUCGCGGAUACGAUGCACAGUCUCCCCAGGUCUACUUGAAUUCGAGCCCCCUCCCGAGAUCACGAAGGACAAGCACCUGCCAAUUCCCUGUCUUCCUCACUGCUACGCGAACGUGACCAUCAAGGCCCGAACGUGAAACCCAAUCUGCCGCACUAAUCGCGAAUGCGACCCCACUAUUGCAAACGUGAAGAAGAAUCUCCCCCCAGCUUCAUAAUACACUCCGCGAUCGCGAUUCUCCCGUUGCGAUCGCGAUGAAGAACCUGACUCGAACAAAAAUCUGCAAUUCUAACAAUGCUCCAGGUAGUUUGAAACUUGUGCCGUCCCCUGUCCAAUCACACCAACAAGUCCAUAAAUAUUACCCAGACCUAUCCAAAGUCUCCAAACACAUACACUAUCAUCACAGCUACAAAUCAAAUGUCAAACCACAAAUUGAAGUUCUCUUAAGUUCAAGAAUUUCCAAACUUCAAACUAAGCGUCCAAUUCAAGCCCAACCAAUCCGGAUUACAUCCAAACUUUGCAAACAAGUUCAAAUGAUAAAAUGAACCUAUUCCAAGUAUCGUAACCACAUUUCGAUUCAGAUAUUAUCAAAGUCAACUCCCGGUCAAACCAUUAAACUCUCUAAACCUUCAAAUUGCCAACUUUCGUCAAAUAGAGCCAAAACAUCCUAGUAACCUCCAAAUCCAAAUCAGAACAUACGCCUAAGUCCAAAAUCCCAAUUCGAUCCUACAUAAACUAUCAAAUCACCACUCUGAGGUCGUUUACAUAACAAUCAAACCUUGGUUGACUCUUAUGACUUAAGCUUCCAACAAUGGAACUAAGUGUUCCAAUUUAUUCCAAAACCUUCUCGGAACCAAACUAACCAUACCCGCAUGUCACAAAACAACCAUCAAACAUACGGGAAACAUCAAAUAGGGGAAUAAGGCUCAAAUACACAAAAUGAUCGGCCGGGUCAUUACAAUUUUAUCAUGCCUAAAAUAUUUCAAAUAAUUCAAGCUAUACAGACAACAAGCUCAUAACAUCCUAGCCUCAAAAUUUAACUCAUUACCAUAAAGUAUUCACAGGCUUGAACACUUACUCCAACAGAAAAGUCUAAUAAUGUCACCUAUCUGUAGUGAAAUCAUGUGGCCUCACAACAAAUCAAAGAAAGUAAAUAGUCCACACAUUCAAACUAAGAGUUUAAAUAUAAUUUAAGGACUCACUCAUAUGAAGGAAUUCACUCACUCUCACAUAGAAAGUCAUAUGCAUACAAAGGUACCAUAGGAUUAUCCAUUAUGUAAACCUAUACUAAUUUAGGCCCUUUCAAUUAGGAUUUAUUAUGGUUAUAAUGUGUGCUAAGGGACAGAAAUAGGAUAUAUUUAGAAAAUAGUGACUAUCGCUUCUAAUCACUUUAACACAUCAUAAUAUUUAACUUUAAGCGCACUUUUUCAUAACCCAGAUUCAAAUACCAUUACGCAAGAUCACCCCAUAACACUCCCAUUUCUAUAAGAACAUCACAUAUUAAUAACUCAUCAAGGACAAGAUAUAAUUGUUUUUCACGAUAAGUAUUUUUUACAACACCUUUUCUGUAUUUUGCGCUCUCAGCUAUUGGUUCUUUUUCUUUCUUACACAUAUGUACCUUUCUUCUUUUCCUUCAUUUCACUCAAAAGCUACGUAUGUUCCCUCCUUACUUUUUUCUAGCACUUAUUCUUAUGAUUUAAGUGCUUUUAGUGGUAAAAGGUUCAAAAAGAAUCAAUUAAAAACAAAAAAAGGUAUAGUCUUGUAAUAUGGGUGCCAAACAAAAUAUUUAUAGGCUAAAAAGGCUAACUAAGAAUAAUUUCAACAAUGGUAGGCCACAAGGCUCAAACGGGUCAAGCAAGGCCUAACAGCAUUUCUCAAAUUGAGGAACACCUAGGAUUUCGUUUCAACUCAUAUGUUGGGAAUGUUUUAGACUCAAAUGCAAAGCAUGAACUACACAAAGACUCACCUCACACAUGGCACAUGAUCCCCUAAGCACGAUUCCAUUCCGACUCUUAAAUCAAAAUAAGUUUCUACAGAGUCCAGAAUUAUUAAGCAUACAACUGUAAAUACGAGUCAAGAAAAUGAGCAUAUGCGGCACAAAGCAUGUUAUCUAGUUUUUCAAGGCAUCAAAAAUUCUAAAAUCCACAGGGAAGGUAAUGCACAUGCCAAGGCUGUUACACACAAUGUUUUCGUAUGCAAAAGUAUGUCGUAAGUAAAUUGACAUACGCUCGAAAGUGAGAUCCUCUUUGGACAAAUAAAAAUGAGCUGCUUGCUUACCCGACGUGCCUGCUCAGCCAAAUUAUUUUCCGUCCUACUUGCUUGAGCUACUUAACACGUGUCGUGAUUAUUAAAUGAGGACAAGACAUGUAUCUAAAUUAAUUAGGGAAUCAUGUGACACACCCUAAUUAAAGAAGUAGGUGACAAGUAGGUGUGUCACCUACUGCCCAAAUUAAAGGGUUGUUUGUGGCCCAAAUUAAAGGUUAAAGAGAGGCCCAUUGGGGCAGUAGUUUGGUCGACCAUAAGGUAUUAUUAAAGUCAACAUCUGGCCAUUUUCACCCAUUUUCAUCCAAAAUAAAGUUCAGCAACAUCCUCUCUUUCUCUCCCAAGCCAAACAACCACCCUUCUUUCUACUAGGGUUCUAAGUGAAAAAGGCUUCAAGUUUCAAUCCUCCCCCAUGGUGUGAGAUGAUUUUAAUGUGUUUUAUCUUCUCUCCUAAGAUAUCAAAAUUUUCUAUAACAAAAAUCCCAAGGCAGCCCCUCUCCUCCAAGGUUAAGCCACCUACUCUUUAUUAAAAAUAUUGUAGAAGUGGUGGAGAUCACAUGUUUGAUGUUGUUGCUAAGUUGUGAGCAUUCUUAAGUUAAAGGAAAAUUUUUCUAGGAUUUCUUCUUGCUGCAUAAGGUAAAGAAUCUUCUCUUCUUCAUGUGUUUGAGCUUAUUGGAGUCUUAGCUAUGUUGUGACAAUACGAACUUGUGAAGAAAUGGCCUAAAAUGAGUUCUAAGUUACUGCAAUUUGCUGGACUGUUAUGAGGUUAUUUUUAUAGUGUAUUGUGGCUGAAAAUUACUAGGAACAACCUGAGUACUGUUUUGAUUUUCACUGUUGAAGAGUAUUCAAGUUCUAGCUAAGUUUUAUGGAUGAAAAGGGCAAGUUAGCACUUGAUUAUUGGGUGAGAUGGUGUGGACUAUUUUGGUGAUGUAUUAUAAUGGAUAUAAGGUUAGAUAUUGAUGUAUAUAUGUUUGUUGACAUUCUAUACAUGUUGGUCUUGUUGUUUGAUAUGAGGAAAGUGAAAAGAAUAAGGGAAGGUGCUGUACAAAUUUUUGUAGAUGAGCUAGUCGCUCAUUUGUGUUGAAUUCUAGCUUCCGUAAGCUUAACAAUGGUCUCUUAUUGUUUGUUGUAUAUUGAAGUACUAACGGGCUGAAUUGAUAUCGUGUUGUUAAUUAAAUGACAAAGGUAUGUUAAGGCAUUUCCUUCUUUCCUUUGGCAUGAUCUAAAGUGAAAUGAAUGCAAACAAUACACCAUUUCAUAAUGGAUCUACUCCUAGAAACUAAGGAUAUCCAUGUUGUUCUUUCCUUAUAAAGUUAUUCUAAGCAUGUAUGUAUGAUCCUUGAAUCCUAUUGAGGUUCAUAUUGAUAGUAUGGAUGUCCAUAACUUUAAUCGAAGAGGCAACAACCUUACGUCACUCCGAAAGGUUGAGAAUGUGAUUCCAUGAGUCUAGCAUUAAUUAUAUAUAUGUACCUAUUUUACUCUACUGAGCCGCGCUAUAGUUGACCAGGUAAGACACCUAUUGUGCAACCACUGAUCAGUUGGGUUUCACCGAGCUCCACCUGGUCGGGUAUGAUUCUACCUAGCCUUAUUAUGGUCGGGUAUGUUUUUACUGAGCCUAUUACAGUCGGGUAUGAUAUGAUGAUGAUGAUGAUUCCCACAGAGGUGUAUAUUUUUAAACGAUUAUGUAUAUAUAUAUGUAUCAUGCAUUUCAUGUCAGUAGCCCUCAGAGGCACUCAAAUGUUAAAGAUUGUAUCUUCUCUAUAUCUCUUUGCAUUACAGUUCUUAUUAUAUUUUCUGUCUUACAUACUCGAUACUUUAUUCGUACUGACAUCCCUUUUGCCUGGGGAUGCUGCAUUUCAUGCAUGCAAGUCCCGAUAGAUAGGUUGGCAGUCCUCCUAGUAGGCUAUCAGCACAGCGGAAGGUGUUGGUGCACUCCUCUUACUCCUGAUUGCCUAUUUGGUCAGUAUGCUUUGGACAUGUAUUGAUUGGUAUGGCAUGGCCAUGUCCUGACCUUUAUUAUGUUUAUGUACUCUUAGAGGCUUGUAGAUAGAUGUCAUGUAUAUGGAUGCUUGUAUGGCCUGGUCGGCCUAUGUUUUGAGUGUACAAAUGAUCAUAUCAACCUUAUAGGCCCGUAUGUCACAUGUAUAAGUUUGUAUAUCAUGUUGGGUCAUCCUAUGUCGAGUAUUUCCUUAUGUUUUAUUCUGAUUAUCUUAUGACGGUCUUUCCGGCUCAUUUAGCCAUGAUAGUAUGAUAAUAAAGAUACGUUAUAUUGGUACUCGGAUGAGUAAGGCACCAGGUUCCCAUCACGGCACUUUGGUUUGGGUCGUGACAAACUUGGAAUCAAAGAAGUUCUAACCUAGUGAGUUUACAAGUCAUGUCUAGUAAAGCCAUGUUUAUAAAUGUGUUUUGCACCAAAUUAUAUAAACAGGAAGCUACAAGGCAUUUAGGAGUCUUCUACUUUUCUUUCAAAUCCAAAUCGUGCUAUAGAGAUGAGUCAUAAGAGUUUGAGUCGGUACUUAUGUUUGCUAAUGAUACAAAGAUGUUUGCAAUUAGAAAUAUUACGGCUAGCCAGAGGGCUAAUACAACAACGGUUAAGGGCACUAAUAGAAAGAGAGUUCAUGACGGCGUAGCCUAGUUUGAGCCCCUAUUAGAUCGUGCAUACCAGAUGUGCAAAUUUCCAGCUUAAGACCCUAAGAUGGGAAUAUCUAGCAUAGCGGGAAUAUCUAGCAUACCCCGCGAAUAAUAGGCCAUGGGAGUAUCAGAAGGUAAAAGUAUUAAGUGUCGACAAGUAACAAAAAUUAGGUUAAGAAGGGUACGAGAUACCCAGUUAAUGUAGAUUAUCAGUAUUUCCAAUUCAGGUAGAGAAAUAUAAGCAUUCUAAGUUACCUUCAACAAUAACAAAGGUAUGUAAAAUUGGCCAAACCCAUCUUAGUUAUGCCCUAUGGGAGCUAACAGAUACAGUUUAAGGGAAGGAUGGGAUAUAAGGAUCCAGCUGGGGUUAGAGUAAUCCAAAAUGGUGGAUGGAUUGUUAGCGUUAGCUAAAAUUUUUGAAGGAUAUUGCAAACAUGGUAAUAGUUCUCUUUGUGAGACACCCAGAUGGUGCAAUCUAGAAUAGUACAAUCAGAUAUGAAUACUAGAAUGUUCAAAAAUUUAGAAGAUAAGCACCGAAAUCCUAGAAGGGAUAAAUAUUUACCUUAGCAUGGCUCCCGUCCCUAGUAAAGAGAGAAUGUUAGGCGACCCGAAGAGCCAGUGGAUGGAGCAAGGGGAGCUAAAAUCGAAAGAAUAUUUUGUUGAAAUUUUUAGAAUAAUGUGAUAGAUAGAAAUAUUAGUAGGAGAAUAAGAAGAGAGUAAAUUAAGCGUUAUGAGUAAGAUGUGAUAAAUGGGUGAUAACAGUAAUCAAAAUAUGACAAGAUCACAGAGUCUAUAGUCAAGUGAAGGAAAAGACAAAAGGAGACAAGCCUUGAGACAAUAAAAGAGUAUAAGCCAUAAAAUCAUAUCCUCAUUUCGAGAAAUGAGUUGGUGACCCGAACGUGGUUAUCAGAAGGCUAAGUUAGACCCCCCCCCCCGGAGUAAUAGAAAUUAUAAUGGGCUAGUAAACAAGAAAAAAAAAUCAAACAUGAAUUAAGGUCCAAAGUAUUUGAUAAUAGUCGACAUCAUGAGAAUUUUAGAGAUCGCUUUCCGGCAAUAAUAGAAUGGACAAUAGAAGAAUAACCUUUAAAGGUCAUUUAGGAAGAUACUUCCCUAAAGCAAGCACUGUGAGUAGACUUAAGCUUAAGGGACUAAGUGUGCCAGUUGCACUAGGUGUCACCCUCGUGCGUAAUUAAUUCAGUUAUCCUUGGUAUAGAAGGGUUACUGCAAAGCGAGUAAAAGUCAAUAAAGACGAGAAAAGACGGCAAAGAUGAAGAGGUAAAACAUUUAUAGGUAAAUCUUCAUAGCAUUAAAUGUCAGUACUCCUCUAAAGGGGGGAAUAUGGUGUGAUAUGGUAUUAAGUCAGAGUUAUGUGGUUAUGUGGUUCAGGUAACUAUGGAAUAGUGAAGGAAGAAUGCAGUAAAAAGGCAAAAGGAAUGAGAUUGCAUUUAUUCAGAUCCUACAGAUAUGUUACGACUCCAAAACAUUAUGCAAGUACGAUGCCGGGGAUAGGUAGUAAGGGUUCUCGCCCAGGAUGUUACUGAUAAAUAAGUGUGAAUGAAUACUUGAUACAUAAAGAGCCAGUUCAAGAGGUAAGUUAAGACAAAUAAAAUAACCCAAGAGAGAUUACGCGGAAUAUAGAAAUGAGAAUGGACCAACGAGUAGUUAAUAGUUGAUUCAGGAAGAGUCUAGUUAUGGCUAGACAAGAGGAUACAUAUAAAUUAGCAGAUCGUGCAAGAUAAAUGUAAUGAACCCAAAUAUAGGAAAUUAAGUCCCACAGAUAUGACAUAGUAAUUAUUGAGAAAUAUUCAGAUAGGAGUUGGGGUAGUUAAAGGUACCGUAUAAGUGUUAUGAAAAUAAAAGAGAGUGCCACUGGGGAGACAAUAAAAAUUUCAUUUCAGAAGAACCCUUACGAGCACAAGGGCGGGGAGGUAAGUAACUAAGGAUAAUUAUAGGUGAGUAAGAACAUCAAAAAUUAUGUCGGGUAUACGAUGUAAUAAGCUCGCAGCUUUACAAGAGUCAGAGGGUCUCCCCUAAGUACUAUAACAAAAGACUGGAUGAGGAAAUAAGGAAGAAGGCUUCGACCUAAGCAUAGUGACCUGAAGAAGAAAUUAUCUUGUAACAACAGUCUCACUACAACAUUAUAUGCACUCCAUAAGAAAGUGGCACCUAUCGUGACUAAUGAACGGGAAAUAAAAUCAAAAGUAAUAUUCGAGAUCAUAUGAGUUACACAAAAUUCCAAUAUGUGUGGGCAUUAAGAUAAGUCAAGUAUUUAUGCAACAAGUGGCAGAACGACCAGAAAAAGUAAUUGCUUACAUUUAAAGACAACUGAGAAGGCACAAAAGGAAUUACUUGCUCUAUGACCCAGAGUUAGUUACGUUAUGACCGCACUUAAGAUUUCAGAGUAUUAUCCAUACAACAUAUAUGUUGACAUUCUUACAGUUAUAGGAGACUCUGGUAUAAGAUAAAAGAAAGAAUUGUCCAUGUUACAGACAAAGGCUUGAAUUGUUAGAAGAUUAUAACAUGGAUGUUCCACAACACCCAUGAAAGGCUAAAGUAAUAACUAAUACCAUGAGCCACAGAUUGGAAGACAGUUUAAGCCUACAUGAAGGCUGAGAGAGAAGAGGAAGCCUGAGAGUUACAAUAGCUAAGUAAAUCAGGAGUUUGAUUAUUAGACACAGAUAAUUAUAGAAAUCGUGAUUCAGAAUAAUGCAGAAUCACUCUUAAUAUCAUAGGUACAAGAGAGAUAGUACAACGACCAUAUUCUGUAAUGGUUCUACGAUAAAGCCAGUUAGAAGAGUACCAGCCUCAUAAGAAGUUAGUAUGAAGCUCCCAUCAGAUUAUGUAUGCACCAGAGGUGCAAGUAUUAUAGUAGAGCUUUAAUGUGUGGAAGUGAAUUCCACCUAUGUGGAAGGGAGGUUAUGAAAGAGACAGAAGAUACGAUGCGAGAUUUAAAGGUAAGUAAGGUAAAGGUAAAUAAGGUAUGAGAUACUCAAGUUCAGAAGGUUGUAAAUAGUCCAGACAUCAGAUAGAGGGCUAGAAGCACCGUGAUUCAGUAUCCAUAAAUGAUAGUGGUGUCAUCAGUAGCAUAUCUUUCAGCCUAUGGUUUCUAGGUACCGAGAGGUCGAGUUAGGAGAGUAAAGAAGAUUUAAAGACAACAUGAUGUCUCGCUUAAGUUGUUAGAAUAACAUAAGGAAAUAUAUGGUUCUAUCAAGUUAAAGGAAGGUUGCGAGUAUUAUAAAUAGAUAUGUCUAGGUCGCAAGCUAAAGUAUGGUUGAGUGACAAGGUUUUAGGUAGACGGGAGUAAGGAUAAGGAAAGGUGAGUGAGAAUGUGACAAGAAUAGGUAAGACCUUGAGAUUAAGCCCAUCAAACAAGAGAGCUGAUGGUUUUCAUAAGUUAUAGAAAGCUCAGUAUAGCCUGAAUGAACUCGGAGGAGUCUAAGACUAGGAUCAUUUAGAAGAGAUGGAACGUUGCCCUGGUAGUAGAAUAAGGGUGUAAUUGUGAUAGAUAUGAGGAUGACGUUUAGGCCUUUGAUUGAGUAAUGAUUCAAAGAAAAGGGAUUUCAUGAAUUGCACAGGAUUAAAAUACCCCCAUAAGAUGAAUCGUGUUGGGGUGCUAUGAAAUGUUAUUAAAGUGUAGCAUCGUCCCUAGGUGGAUCAGGCAAAUCACUUUCGAUGUUCCCCGAUGAGAAGUGAGCCCUAGUGACGAUAUAUUACAUAAGAGGUUUCAAGUUAUCAGUGGUAGAUUAUAGAUCAACAUUAAGAUGAAUCAACAAUUGAUGGAUAAGAGUUCCAAAGUAUGAGAGGAGAUUAGGAUGUUAUUUUUUAUAUGAACAGUAAUGAGGAAGCAUUAAAGGACUUAGAUUUAUACAUAUAGGAUAAGCAACCUGGAGUUGGGUAGCAGACCUCGGUAAUAAUAAACCAAAGUAAAAGUUAUGGUAUAGUAUGAACUACCUAGAUGUAGUAAAGCCAUAAGGAUAGAUAAUUGAGGCUAUGAAAUAAGAUAUAGCAAUAGUUAUAAGUUCAACAAAGUAUCUAGCGAAGAACAUCAGUACACCUAUAGAUGCCCAGAGGGACACCUUGUCAUAGUUCUGUAUAUGUUCACAAAGUGAGACCUAGGGAUUGGCUAAAAGUUAGAGGAAAAAGGAGAGAAAAGUCGCAUAGGUGCACAUACAAGGACAGAGUCAUACAGGCUGCAUGACAGAAGGUAGCAACAGUUACGAGAUUGGAGCAAUUCCGACCACAAGUCGUGGCGUGAGAAAGAGGUCUAAAGGGGGGAAUGCCUUGGCCUUUGGAUUUAUUCACAGAACAAUUGCCUAGAUAGCAUGGACAAUAUUAAAGUAUUUUUAAGGUUGUAGGUUAUGAGACUGAUAAGCUCAUCAGUCAACAUUCGAGGACAAAUAUUCCAAAGGGGGGAAUGAUGUUACACCCCAUAUUUUUGUACGCAAAAGUACGACAUAAGCCAAUUGAUGUAAGCUCGAAAAUGAGAUCCUCUUUGAAAGUAUAUAAAGUAAUUUAAUGAUGUUAUAUCCCGUAUUUCUGUUCAGCAUAUACACGACUAAGUUGAGGUUGAAGAAUUCACUUAAACGCGAGAAAGGAGAUUUUGGACAAAUAAAAAUGAGCUGCUUGCUUACCCGACGUGCCUGCUUCACCAACUUACUUUCCGUCCUACUUGCUUGAGCUACUUAACACGUGUCGUGAUUAUUAAACGAGGACGAGACACAUAUUUAAAUUAAUUAGGGCAUCAUGUGACACACCCUAAUGGAAGAAGUAGGUGACAAGUAGGUGCGUCACCUACUUGCUAAAAUGAGAGGCCCAAUUAAAGGGUUGUUUGUGGCUCAAAUUAAAGGUUAAAGAGAGGCCCAUUGGGGUAGUAGUUUGGUCGACCAUAAGGGAUUAUUAAAGCCAACAUCUGGCCAUUUUCACUCAUGUUCAUCCAAAAUAAAGUUCAGCAACAUCCUCUCUUUCUCGCCCAAGCCAAACAACCACCCUUCUUUCUACUAGGGUUCUAAGUGGAAAGGGCUUCAAGUUUCAUUCCUCCCCCAUGGUGUGAGAUGAUUUUAAUGUGUUUUAUCUUCUCUCCUAAUAUCUCAAACUUUUCUAUACCAAACAGCCCAAGGCAGCCCCUCUUCUCCAAGAUUAAACCACCUACUCUUUAUUAAAAGUGUUGUAGGAGUGGUGGAGAUCACUUGUUUCAUGUUGUUGCUAAGUUGUGAGCAUUCUCUAGUUAAAGGAGACUUUUCUAGGCUUUAUUCUUGAUGAAUAAGGUAAGUAAUCUUCUCUUCUUCAUGUGUUUGCGCUUAUUUGAGUCUUAUCUAUGUUUUGACAAUACGAGCUUGUGAAGAAAUCCCCUAAAAUAAGUUCUAAGUUACUGCAAUUUGCUGGACUGUUAUGAGGUUAUUUUUAUAGUGUAUUUUGGCUGGAAAUUAGUAGGAAUAACCUGUGUAUGUUGUGAUUGUCACUAUUGAAGUGAAUUCAAGUUCUAGCUAAGUUGUAUGGAUAGAAAAGUGCAAAUUAGCACUUUGUUAUUGGGUGAGACGGUGUGGACUAUUUUGGUAAUGUAUUGUAAUGGAUAUAAGGUUAGAUAUUGAUAUAUAUAUAUAUGUUUGUUUACAUUAUGUACCUGUUGGUCUUGUUUGAUUUGAGGAAAUUGAAAUGAAUAAAGAGAGGUGUUGUCCAAACUUUUGUAGACGAGCUUGUCGCUCAUUUGUGUUGAAUUCUUGCUUCCGUAAGCUUAACAAUGGCCCCUUAUUGUUUGUUAUAUAUUGAACUACUAACGGGCUGAACCGACAUCGUGUUGUUAAGUAAAUGACAAAGUUAUGUUAAGGCAUUUCUUUAUUUCAUUUGGGAUGAUCUAAAGUGAAAUGAACGCAAACGAUACGCUAUUUCAUAACAGAUCUACUCCUAGCAACUAAGGCUGUGCAUGUUAUUCUUUCCAUAUAAAGUUAUUCUAAGCACAUAUGUAUGAUCCUUGAAUAUUAUUGAGGUUCAUAUUGAUGUAUGGAUGUCCAUAACUUUAAUCGAAGAGGCAACGACCUUACGCCACUCAGAAAGGUUGAGAAUGUGAUUUCAUGAGUAUGCCGGGUACAACACCUAUUGUGCAACCACUGAUUAGUUGGAUUUUACCGAGCUCCACGUGGCCGGGUAUGAUUCUACCGAGACUUAUGAUGGUCGGGUACGUUUUUACCGAGCCUAUUACGGCCUGGUACGAUAUGAUAAUGAUGCCCACAGAGGCAUAUGUUUUUAAAAGUUUACGUAUGUAUAUGUGUGUGUGUGUGUGUGUAUAUAUAUANNNNNNNNNNNNNNNNNNNNNNNNNGUAUCUUGUCUAUCUCUCUUUACAUUACGGUUCUUAUUUAUGUUUUCUACCUUACAUACUCGGUACUUUAUUUGUACUGACGUCCCUUUGCCUAGGGACACUAUGUUUUAUGCUCGCGGGUCCUCCUAAUAGGCUAUCAACUUAAUGGAAGGUAGUGGUGCAUUCCACUUGCGACGGAGUUGCCUCUUUGGUCAGUAUGCUUUGGACAUGUAUUGAUUGGUAUAGCGGGGCCCUAUCCUGACCUUUAUUACGUUUAUGUACUCUUAGAGUCUCUUAGACAAAUGUCAUAUAUAUGGAUGCUUAUAUGGCCUGGUCGGACUAUGUUUUGAGUGUACAAAUGAUCAUAUCGGCCUUAUAGGCCCGUAUAUCACAAGUAUAUGUUUGUAUAUCAUGUUGGGUCAUCCUAUUUCGAGUAUUCCCUUAUGUUUAAUUCUGGUUAUCUCAUGACGGACUUUCCGGAUCAUUUACCCAUGAUAGUAGAUAAGAAAGAUACGUUACGUUGGUACUCGGUUGAGUAAGGCACCAGGAGCCCAUCGCGGCCCUUCUGUUUGGGUCGUGACAAAGGCCUUGAUAUGCUGGUAUCAAACAAGUCAAAAGGCCCCUAGGAAUCAAAUCAAUCUUCCUUCCCCUAGGAAUCAAAUCAAUCUUCCUUCUUUUAUUUAUUACAUCCUAAACUACUCUCAGAAAGAAAAAGCCACCCAGUUCAAGUUACAUCCCCUGGAAAAGAAUCGAUGCACAAAAAUAUCAGGGGGAAUUAUUGCCUAUCUAAGCACUUAAUACUACCUAAAAACAAGAAUAAAAAGAACAUAUUUUUUUAUUUUCCAAUUUUCAAAUUUUUUAUGUUUUUCUUUAGAUCUUAAUCCCUCAAGAAAACUGUCUAGGAGAUCCAUCAUUGGGAAAAGUCUAAUCUUCUUUCAUUUUCUCUUCUUUCUUAUUUCAAAUGAAUUAACUACUAAAUUAAUACUACAAAACUACCAAACUAAUAUUACUACAACUAUUAACUAACCGAGAGAAUUCUACCAUCCCACACUUAUAGAGUGCAAUGUCCCCAACAUACAAUAAAAGCAAAAAUAGCGAGGGCAGAGAAAGGAACUCCUUGUCACUCCGAACUAUACGAGAAGAACGGUUUAUCCUAAUCAUAUUAGUAGCCUCAUAAUUAUCAUUAGUGGCAUCAUCUGCCCCAUCCUCAGCGGUAUCCUCGUGAAUAAAUGGCUCAGUGGUGUUCACAUAUUCCUCUAGGUGCAUGACCUGGGCAAAACCAAUCCCAACCAACUGCUUAGUUUAACGGUUGAGUGGACAAUGCUCAAGUAACUAGCCUCUCUCAUGCUACAUAGCUGGAUGAUCUCCAAUUUUGGAGUUGAAUAUCCAACAUCCCAUAGAGAUGAGCCAUGAAGCUAUCUCGAGCCUCACGCUCAGCAGUAGUCAAUGUGAUCGCUCCUUCCUCAUCUGGACCACGUACACCAGAUAUCAGUAGCUCGAGACACUACCACAAUAAUGGUGUCACAAUUCAGAAUCUCUGUAACUCACUCAGAGCACAAGUACUGGGUAAGUACAUUGCCAUAGAACAUUUUGGACAACUUGCCAGCUCUAGUCUGCUCGAUUUUCUCUCGCAUCAAGUGAUCCACAUUCACAAGAUGCCCAGCCAUCAAGAAAUAAACUAGUUACACUCGCUCCCUCAUAAUAUGCAUAUCGUGCUCACAAGUCAGAAUCCUCAAGUUUACCAACUUCAACUAACUUUUGUCGGCUUCAGAAACUUCACCUUGGGCAUGGUGCCAUGUGUCACUUUCUUAUUACACAUCCACAUAAUAUUUGAAUUGACACAAAGGGCAUCUAGAGCCUUGCAUAAUGCUCUAGACAAAAAUUCAAUCAACGUCCCUCUAAUAGGCACCAAAUUAUCUAUGUAACGAACAUCCCAAUUGGCAUAAAACUCUCUAAUCAAGCUCACAUUUUCCUCUCCUAGGUUUUAGAACACAAACCCCAACCCACGUUAUGCAUGGUUGCCCAUAUAUGAUUGUAACUCGCCUUCAAAUUAUUAUCAUCAUUAGCCGUCUCAAGGGUAUACAUGGGUGGGAAGAAUUUCUUGUACCAUGAUUUUCCAUAAGGAAUAACAUGUUUGAUAUAAAUAGAGGCUUUUUCUUUCUUGCGACUCAGCUUGAGCUGAACUAGUAGAAGCUGCUUGCUUCCUUUUUGCUUGCUACUAGAUGUAGACUCAGUGCAAUUCCUCUUUUUAGGUGGUGUGGAAAUGGAGAUCUUGGGCUGAGCCGGAUCUUUGGCCUUAGUUGCAACUACUUUUGUCCGAACCACUUUUUAAAGUACCUGCAAACGACAUACUCAAAUAGUCUAGAGAUCCAAGAAAGAAACCAUAAACUGUUUCUUUCUUUUUCCUUUAUUUGAGGUUACCGAGUAGAAAGAAAGGUUAAGAUUUCUGUGCAAAAUUUCUGUUAGAUUUGGGUGUGCCGACAUUUCAACUUUGCUUAGGAAGAACGAUGAAAUUGGCACCAUUGAUUGCUAUUUUCAACACGCAGUGCUAUGUCCUCAGUUAGUCUCUAUUAUUGUACUUCAUUUAAGCUGACAUAAUUGACUUCGUUCUAAGUUCUGUACUUUUAUCUCGGACAAGCCAAAGUCAAAUGAGAUUCAGCUCUAACGAAACAUGAAAAUCGCCAAAAUGGUAACCUUGACGUGGAACAACUUGUGAGGACAAUCCUGUAGUCAAAACAUCGCACGACAAAUAUAACAGUUGUAUCAACUAACAAAUCUGAGGCAUUAGCACCGAGUUUUGAAACGCAAAGAACACGAGAAAGUUACAAGAGAACAAUUUUCUUUUCUCAGUUAAUUGUCGGUAGACUGAAAUUAAACUAAUUCGCAGACGAAUUUAGAUGGGAGACAAGAAUGAAUGACUACGAUCUUCUACGAAGGAAUUUGUGUCCCGGACUUCGCGUGUUCAUUUGAUGUUCACAGUAACAAGAAGUGUGCAGCUUAAUCAGAAAAAAACCAAAACUUGUCAAAAGACAGUGCUCCACUUCAAUAGAAUUAAACAUUUGAAGGGUAAAAAGAUGCUGAAUCAUGACCUACUGCUCGUUUAAGUUCAAAAUAUCAGUACAUAACAUGGACAUUUCGACAAAUACUUUUCUUUAAUUACAUCCAUACCAUAGACUACCCCUACUUAACUCGAUGACCAUAGCCUUCAUACAACAAGAGAAACACUAGCUUUGUGCACAAAGUUUCUAGCAACUACCCCAGCUCUAUUGAGCCACCCAACACUUAAUUCUCAUGAUUAUCAUCCUCGCAUAAUUUAAUUACUUCAAUCCCAGAGACUCAGGCUCCAAUUGGGACUUGAAUUGCCUUUAAGGCAAUUCAUCGAACACUUUGAAUACACAAUUUGUGUGUGAGUGUAUUCGCGAGUUAGGGACUGCCUCACCCUCCCAAAUUAGCUUGGGAAUUGAGUGUUAAACACUCAUAUCAGCAACAAAUAGAAUAAGUGUGGGGUAAAUGGGUUUGGAAUUCAAUGUCACUAGUUCCACCAUUGUUGCACAACUACUACUAAGAAAGAGAAAAGAGGCAUAUGACAUUCAUAUUGCCAUAGAUGAGUGAGUGAGAGAGAGAGAGAGAGAGAUUGAUCUAAAAGAAUAGAUGAAAGAAACUUACCUGGCCUUGAAGCGUGUUCAGCCAAGGGGGAUGGCAGUGAUGUUUGUGCGUUGUGUUUGGUUGAAAGGGAAUAAUGGGUUAGAGGAAGGAAGAGGACUUAAGUUUAUAUUUUUAAGGGAUGAAAGGGAGAAAAGGGGCUUGGUUCGGGUGUUAAUGUAUAAAGAAAAGGGGUCGAAUGUAA
rnacentral:lncRNA from 1 species